AAUGGACGUUGGCGGCGUGGAUUAGGCAUGCAAGUCGAGCGAUAAGCUUUUGAUUGAUCUUUCGAGUGAAGUCAAAGGUGGACAGCGGCGAAAGGGAGAGUAACGAGUAGAUUACGUACCCAGGGGUUUGGGAUAGCGGGGGGAAACCGCAGGUAAUACCGAAUAAUGUCUCCGGACCAAAAAUUUAUUGCCCUUGGAGCGGUCUGCUUACUAUUAGCUUGUUGGUGGGGUAAUGGCCUACCAAGGCUCAGAUGGUUAGCGGGUGUGAGAGCAUGACCCGUCUCACUGGGACUGAGACACUGCCCAGACACCUACGGGUGGCUGCAGUCGAGAAUCUUCCGCAAUGGACGAAAGUCUGACGGAGCGACGCCGCGUGCGGGAUGAAGGCCUUCGGGUUGUAAACCGCUGUCAUAGGGGAGCAAAUUUUGAGCGAUCCUCAGAGGAAGCACAGGCUAAGUUCGUGCCAGCAGCCGCGGUAAUACGAACUGUGCGAACGUUAUUCGGAAUCACUGGGCUUAAAGGGUGCGUAGGCGGCUAUAAAGGUCAGAUGUGAAAUCCCACGGCUCAACCGUGGAACUGCGUUUGAAACCGUAUAGCUUGAGGAAGUCAGAGGUAAGCGGAACUGAUGGUGGAGCGGUGAAAUGCGUUGAUAUCAUCAGGAACACCGGUGGCGAAAGCGGCUUACUGGGACUUUUCUGACGCUGAGGCACGAAAGCUAGGGGAGCGAACGGGAUUAGAUACCCCGGUAGUCCUAGCUGUAAACGAUCUGUACUAGUCUGUGGGGGCUUCCACAUCUUCUCGGACGUAGCGAAAGUGUUAAGUACAGCGCCUGGGGAGUAUGGUCGCAAGGCUGAAACUCAAAGGAAUUGACGGGGGCUCACACAAUCGGUGGAGGAUGUGGCUUAAUUCGAGUCUACGCGAAGAACCUUACCUAGACUUAACGUGCUUGGGAAUCUCUAUGAAAGUAGAGAGUGCCUUUCGGGGAGCUCUUACGUAGGUGCUGCAUGGCUGUCGUCAGCUCGUGUCGUGAGAUGUCGGGUUAAGUCCCUUAACGAGCGAAACCCUUAUCUUCAGUUGCCAGCGAGUAAUGUCGGGGACUCUGGAGAGACUGCCGGGUUAAACCGGAGGAAGGUGGGGAUGACGUCAAGUCCUCAUGGCCUUUAUGUCUAGGGCUGCACACGUCCUACAAUGCGGCGAACAAAGCGAUGCGAACUCGCGAGAGCAGC
rnacentral:rRNA from 1 species